rnacentral:tRNA from 1 species
GGCGACGUAGCUCAGUUGGUGAGAGCGCUCGGCUCAUAAUCGAGAGGUCGUCGGUUCGAACCCGACCGUCGCCACCA